AUGGGGAUCCGGUGUCUUCAUCUAUACCAUCAGAGAAGAAGGCUUGCCAAGAAUGGACGAAGGUAUGAUUCUAGGAAAUCUAGAUUUGAAAGAAGGAAGCACCCGAGGAGCAAUCAAACGGACAUUUCUACGAGUGAACUCGCUAAAGCUGAAGAUCCACCAUCCAAUUUAGGCAUUAGGUAG
rnacentral:rRNA from 1 species